GGGGGACCCCAAAAAAGAGGGAAGGGACCCCAAAAAGGAGGGGAGGAACAUCAAAAAUAGAGCGGGAACCCCAAAAAUAGAGAGGGAACCCCAAAACCGACCCCCCCUCCCCCUCCCCCCCUUUUCCUUCCUCUUCUCCCCCGGGGCCGCCCCUCCCCCACUCCCAGUGCUCCCAGUAAACCCAGUGUCGAUUCCCAGUGCUCCCAGUGCUCCCAGUAUCGAUUCCCAGUGCUCCCAGUAAACCCAGUAUCGAUUCCCAGUGCCCCCAGUAUCAAUCCCCAGUUACCCCAGUCCCACUUCUUGGUAUUCCCGGCUCUCCCAGUGCUCCCAGUUCACCCAGGAUCAAUUCCCAGUUACCCCAGUUCCAGUUCUCGACGUUCCCAGUGCUCCCAGUUCCGGAUCCCAGCUCUCCCAGUGCUCCCAGUAUCAAUUCCCAGUUCUCCCAGUGCUCCCAGUGCUCCCAGUAUCGAUUCCCAGUGCUCCCAGUGCUCCCAGUCCCAGUUCCCAGUGCUCCCAGUAAACCCAGAAUCAAUUCCCAGUUACCCCAGUCCCAGUUCCCAACACUCCCAAUGCUCCCAGUUCCGGAUCCCAGCUCUCCCAGUGCUCCCAGUAAACCCAGUAUCGAUUCCCAGUGCUCCCAGUAAACCCAGUAUCGAUUCCCAGUUACCCCAGUCCCACUUCUCAGUAUUCCCGGUUCUCCCAGUGCUCCCAGUCCCAGUUCCCAGGGCUCCCAGUACCCCUAAUCCCAGUUCCCAGUAUUCCCAGUGCUCCCAGUCCCAGUUCCCGGCUCUCCCAGCGCUCCCAGUAUCAAUUCCCGGUGCUCCCAGUGCUCCCAGUACAGAUUCCCAGUGCUCCCAGUACCCCUAAUCCCAGUUCCCAGUGCUCCCAGUGCUCCCAGUUCCAAUUCCCAGUGCUCCCAGUGCUCCCAGUACCCCUAAUCCCAGUUCCGAUUCCCAGUGCUCCCAGUCCCAGUUCCCGGCUCUCCCAGUGCUCCCAGUACCCCUAAUCCCAGGUCCCAGUAUUCCCAGUGCUCCCAGUAUCAAUUCCCAGUGCUCCCAGUACAGAUUCCCAGUGCUCCCAGUACCCCUAAUCCCAGGUCCCAGUAUUCCCAGUGCUCCCAGUUCCGGAUCCCAGCGCUCCCAGUGCCACUUCCCGGUUUUCCCGGCGCUCCCAGUUCCGGAUCCCGGCGCUCCCAGCGCCGCUCCCAGUUCCCGCAGCCCCCGGUUCCAGUUCUCCCAGUGCUCCCAGUAUCGAUUCCCAGCUCUCCCAGUUGCUCCCAGUACCCGUUACCGGCGCCGCCCGCUGCCCCCGGCGCCCGUUACCGGCACCCCCGGGACCGCCCGCCGCCCGUUACCGGCUCUCCCAGUUCAUCCCAAUCCCUCCCAGGGCUCCCAGUUCAUCCCAGAGCUCCCAGUUCCGCCCGGUGCUCCCAGUACCGACCCCCAGGUCCCCCGGUGCCGCUCCCCGGUUCCCGU
rnacentral:lncRNA from 1 species